rnacentral:rRNA from 1 species
GAUAAACGCUGGCGGCAGGCCUAACACAUGCAAGUCGAACGAGUGGCGGACGGGUGAGUAAUGUCUGGGAAACUGCCCGAUGGAGGGGGAUAACUACUGGAAACGGUAGCUAAUACCGCAUACCAUCGGAUGUGCCCAGAUGGGAUUCGCUAGUAGGUGGGGUAACGGCUCACCUAGGCGACGAUCCCUAGCUGGUCUGAGGUGAUGACCGGCCACCCUGGAACUGAGACCCUGUCCAGACUCCUACUGGAGGCAGCAGUGGGGAAUAUUGCACAAUGGGCGCAAGCCUGAUGCAGCCAUGCCGCGUGUAUGAAUAAGGCCUUCGGGUUGUAAAGGACUUUCAGCGGGGAAGCGUUACCCGCAGAAGAAGCACCGGAUAACUCCGUGCCAGCCGCCGCGGUAAUUC